GCAGAGUGAGGUAGUAGAUUGUAUAGUUUUUAGGGUAGUAAUUUUAUCCUUUUCCGGAGAUAACUAUACAAUCUAUUGCCUUCCCUGA
rfam:Ornithorhynchus anatinus chromosome X1, whole genome shotgun sequence.